rnacentral:rRNA from 1 species
UGGGGAAUUUUGGACAAUGGGCGAAAGCCUGAUCCAGCAAUGCCGCGUGUGUGAAGAAGGCCUUCGGGUUGUAAAGCACUUUUGUCCGGAAAGAAAUCCUUGGCUCUAAUACAGUCGGGGGAUGACGGUACCGGAAGAAUAAGCACCGGCUAACUACGUGCCAGCAGCCGCGGUAAUACGUAGGGUGCAAGCGUUAAUCGGAAUUACUGGGCGUAAAGCGUGCGCAGGCGGUUUGCUAAGACCGAUGUGAAAUCCCCGGGCUCAACCUGGGGAACUGCAUUUGGUGACUGGCAGGCUAGAGUAUGGCAGAGGGGGGUAGAAUUCCACGUGUAGCAGUGAAAUGCGUAGAGAUGUGGAGGAAUACCGAUGGCGAAGGCAGCCCCCUGGGCCAAUACUGACGCUCAUGCACGAAAGCGUGGGGAGCAAACAGGAUUAGUACCCUGGUAGUCCCACGCCCUAAAA